ACACGUAGGUGGCGAGCGUUGUCCGGAAUUACUGGGUGUAAAGGGCGUGUAGGCGGGAGAGCAAGUCAGAUGUGAAAGCCCAAGGCUCAACUUUGGGACUGCAUCUGAAACUGUUCUUCUUGAGUACUGGAGAGGGAAGCGGAAUUCCUAGUGUAGCGGUGAAAUGCGUAGAGAUUAGGAGGAACACCAGUGGCGAAGGCGGCUUCCUGGACAGAGACUGACGCUGAGGCGCGAAAGCGUGGGGAGCGAACAGGAUUAGAUACCCUGGUAGUCCACGCCGUAGACGAUGGAUACUAGGUGUAGGAGGUAUCGACACCUUCUGUGCCGGAGUUAACACAAUAAGUAUCCCACCUGGGGAGUACGGCCGCAAGGCUGAA
rnacentral:rRNA from 1 species